rnacentral:rRNA from 1 species
GACGAACGCUGGCGGCGUGGAUUAGGCAUGCAAGUCGAACGGUAUCAUCCUUUCGGGGGUGAGAGAGUGGCGAACUGGUGAGUAACACGUAGGUUAUCUACCCUCAAGACGGGGACAACCCAGGGAAACUUGGGCUAAUACCGGAUGUGAGCAACUUUUUAGUUGUUUGAAAGGUGGCGUAAGCUGUCGCUUGGGGAUGAGCCUGCGUCCUAUUAGUUAGUUGGUGAGGUAACGGCUCACCUAGGCAAUGAUAGGUAGGCGGCCUUAACGGGUGGUCGCCCACACUGGGAUUGAGAUACGGCCCAGACUCCUACGGGAGGCAGCAGUCGAGAAUAGUCUACAAUGGUCGGAAGACUGAUAGUGCGACGCCGCGUGAACGAUGAAUCCCUUCGGGGUGUAAAGUUCUUUUAUAUGUGAGCAGUGCUUCUUAUAUUAACAGUAUGGGGAGAGAGAUAUUAGCAUAUGAAUAAGCAACGGCUAACUCCGUGCCAGCAGCCGCGGUAAGCU